UACGUAGGGUGCAAGCGUUGUCCGGAAUUAUUGGGCGUAAAGCGCGCGCAGGCGGUCCUUUAAGUCUGAUGUGAAAGCCCACGGCUCAACCGUGGAGGGUCAUUGGAAACUGGGGGACUUGAGUGCAGAAGAGGAAAGCGGAAUUCCACGUGUAGCGGUGAAAUGCGUAGAGAUGUGGAGGAACACCAGUGGCGAAGGCGGCUUUCUGGUCUGUAACUGACGCUGAGGAGCGAAAGCAUGGGGAGCGAACAGG
rnacentral:rRNA from 1 species